GCCCUAGAUAAAAUCUAAGGUGUAACCUGCCCAGUGACUUCUAUAAUAAGUAUAAAAAACCUUGAAUGGAGUUAAAAGGACGCGGUAACCUUGACCGUGGUAAUGUAGCAUAAUCACUCGCCAUUUAAUUGAUGGAUAGUAUGAAUGGUUGAACGAAUAUUCCACUGUCUUAGAAAGAAUUAACAAAAAUUGAAAUAAUAGUUAAGAUGCUAUUUAUUACUGUAAGACGAAAAGACCCUAUAGAGCUUAACUAUAAUCUUUUUUCUAAAAAAGGAAAACAAUCCUUAAAUAAAAAAGAUUGGUAGUUUAGUUGGGGCGACUGCCUUCUAAAAAAAACGAAGGCAAGCAAUGUUGGUAAGUUACUUAUUGUUUAAUUAAUAAAUUUAACAAUUACUAAAGUAGGCUUCAGUGACCCGCUUUCACUUUAUAAGAAGGAAAACGAUCAAUAAAUAAAAGCUACCUUAGGGAUAACAGGAUAAUUUCAUUUUAGAGUUCCUAUCGAAAAUGAAGUUUGUCACCUCUAUGUUGAAUUAAGAUGUCCUGAUAAUGCAGCAGUUAUCAAAGGUAGGUCUGUUCGACCUUUAAAAUCUU
rnacentral:rRNA from 1 species